rnacentral:rRNA from 1 species
GAUGAACGCUGGCGGCGUGCCUAAUACAUGCAAGUCGAGCGAACAGAUAAGGAGCUUGCUCCUUUGACGUUAGCGGCGGACGGGUGAGUAACACGUGGAUAACCUACCUAUAAGACUGGGAUAACUUCGGGAAACCGGAGCUAAUACCGGAUAACAUAUUGAACCGCAUGGUUCAAUAGUGAAAGGCGGCUUUGCUGUCACUUAUAGAUGGAUCCGCGCCGUAUUAGCUAGUUGGUAAGGUAACGGCUUACCAAGGCAACGGUACGUAGCCGACCUGAGAGGGUGAUCGGGCACACUGGAACUGAGACACGGUCCAGACUCCUACGGGAGGGAGCAGUAGGGAAUAUUCCGCAAUGGGCGAAAGCCUGACGGAGCAACGCCGCGUGAGGGAUGAAGGUCUUCGGAUCGUAAAACUCUUUUAUUAGGGAAGAACAAAAGGGUAAAUAACCUGUCCCGUCUUGACGGGACCUAAUCAAAAAGCCACGGCUAACUUCGUG